GGACGAUUAGCUCAGUUGGUAGAGCGCCUGCCUUACAAGCAGGAUGUCACUGGUUCGAGUCCAGUAUCGUCCA
rfam:Mastigocoleus testarum BC008 Contig-8, whole genome shotgun sequence.